GCUUGUCUCAAAGAUUAAGCCAUGCAUGUCUAAGUAUAACUCUUUUACUUUGAAAACUGCGAACGGCUCAUUAUAUCAGUUAUAGUUUCUUUGAUAGUCCCUUACUACUUGGAUACCCGUAGUAAUUCUAGAGCUAAUACAUGCUAUCAAGCCCGACUUCUUGAAGGGUUGUAUUUAUUAGACUUAAGCCAAUAUUCCUUGUGUCUAUUGCGAUGAUUCAUAAUAACUGAUCGAAUCUCAAAUUUGAGAUAAAUCAUUCAAGUUUCUGCCCUAUCAGCUUUCGAUGGUAGUGUAUUGGACUACCAUGGCAGUAACGGGUAACGAAGAAUUAGGGUUCGAUUUCGGAGAGGGAGCAUGAGAAACGGCUACCACAUCUAAGGAAGGCAGCAGG
rnacentral:rRNA from 1 species